GGUUAACGCUGGCGGCGUGCCUAACACAUGCAAGUCGAACGGUUCUAAGCGCGAGCUUAGGAUAGUGGCGAACGGGUGAGUAAAAGGUAGGAAUCUACCCCUUGGACGGAGAUAGCUACUGGAAACGGUAGGUAAACUUCGAUAAGCCCGAGAGGGGAAAGUGGUGAGACAGCCGAGGGAUGAGCCUACUCUCCAUCAGGUAGUUGGUGAGAUAAAAGCUUACCAAGCCGAUGACGGAUAACCGGUGUGAGAGCAUGAACGGUCACAAGGGCACUGAGAGACGGGCCCUACUCCUACGGGAGGCAGCAGUGGGGAAUAUUGCGCAAUGGACGGAAGUCUGACGCAGCGACGCCGCGUGAGCGACGAAGGCCUUCGGGUCGUAAAGCUCUGUUCUUGGGGACGAAUAAAAUGACGGUACCCAAGGAGAAAGCCCCGGCUAACUACGUG
rnacentral:rRNA from 1 species